rnacentral:lncRNA from 1 species
GCAAAGCAGGUGGUUUGCAGCAUCAUGACGCAGUGGAAAGAACAUUUAGCUUUGGAGCCACAAAGAUCUGAGUUUGGUUCCUGGCUUUAUUCCUUUUACACAAAUUAUCAAACUUUAUCUUUCUCAAUUUCUUCACAGUAAAAUGGGAAAAUAGUACCUGUUUUGUCUGGUAGUUAUGCAAAUUCACCAAUAGGACAUAUUAGUUAGUUUCUGUCCCACAAACAUUUAUUAAUCUCCUCUUGUGUACCCAGUACUACACUAGGUGUGUAUCUUGGGAGCGUUUGAAGUCUACAAGGGAACUCACUUUCCCUUCAUUCUCUUUUGGGACCAAAAAAAAAAAAAAUCAAUGUUUGUAGAAUUGUGAGAUGACUUUCUAUUUAUUCCUUGUCUGUGUGCUUUUAAAUACUAAAUCAGAUCUUGCCCACAGGUAGUCUGCCUGGAUUUAGCCGCUAAUGCUGGCUGAACCACUUCUCCCUACUAUUCUGACCCAUUGCCACGCUGGAUAGUGGGCUUAGCAGAGGGAACCCUUUGCAGCUGCCAGUCAUGAGGCAGGAGUGGCCUUAGACCUACCGACCCCUUCAGUGGUGAUUCAGCCUGUCUCAUUCUUAUCUCUGUAAGAAGCUUGAUGUGUAUUUUUUUCCCAUCUCCUUUUUGUUAUUGUUUUGUUAGCAGCUAAAUCUGUGGCUGUUUAGCUUCCAAAUAGCAUCCUGGAGGGACAUGGUCCCAGACCAAGACCUGAGAACAACUGACCACAAUCAUGAAUAGUAAUGAAAUCCUUCCAUUUAUAAUCUCCAUUAUUACUUGUAGGGAAAAUAAGUUAAGACUUGUGUCCUUGAUUAGGGAGAUUGGAAUUAAUUGUGAUGAUUGGACUUGGAGUGUGAGUCUAGAGAAAUAUUAAAUGAAAUUCUAAUGGAAGUGCUUUGGCAAAGGGAUUAUAAAUUAAAGCUUUAAUAUGUGUACUCUAGUUGUUGAAGUGAUUUUAAUAUCAUUUACGUAUUUAAUGAUAGUAAAAUUGUUCCAGUGUCAUCUGGGAUUUGUAAUGAAGAUUAGAACAGUCAGAUCAGAAUUAAAUCUCAUCAUCAAGGAAAGGACAGAACAUUCUGGCCAAUACCUGGAUUGUAUAAUAGACAUCUUUCCCUUUUUUAGUUCUCUUCCAGUGCAGCAGGGCAUGGACAACCUUAUGUUGGAUCAGUAAGGAUUAGCUUGGCUCCAUUUCUAGGACCCUGUAAAUACCAACCUUGCAAAAUUGGCAAUAGGCUGUUCAUAGAUGCAACUUUUUUCGUAUAGGUGACCUCUCAGAUCCUUAGGCAGGUCAGUUUGUUUUUCACAGGACUGUUCUAUUUUCCUCGCUGUCAGCCUUGUAUGAGAAUUAUCACUGUGUCACGGGCAUCCACUGAAUGUUCCAGCUGACCUUUAUUAGGUCUUUGAGGAAAGAUGGAAAAGAACAACAACAAAAAAUAAUUGGCAAGUGACAAGGUGCCAUCAGUGAUUAACAACAAUUUUCUCUGGACAUUUUGUGAUUCUGUUAAAAUAGAAGCAGACCAGAAAUUACCUUGCUUUGAGUGAGAUAAUGCAUGAAAGGCACUCACUCAGCACAGAGCCAGUGCUCAAUAAGUGCAAGCUCUUAUUACCACUAUUUUAUUAUUUGGAAUGAAUGUCACCUAUUUCCCCCUCCUUCUCCCACUUUGGUCCUCACAAACAUCUUUUACUGGUGAACCUCAGUGGUAUGAAGGUAAACAACAUUCAUCCUCUUUUCUGAGAACAGUCUGCCCUGAUGUUGAAGGUGAUAGGACAUGUCAGUAGCCCUGGAAGCUCUAUUCCAGAUUCCGGGUAAUUUUGCUGGGUCAGCCCAGCCUUGCGAACUGGCAGCUGCCUAGAAGAUUGAGGUCAUAUUCUGCAUUAGCCUGCACUGGGAAAUUGCUACAUACAGCCAACAGUCUUCUCUGGCAAUAAGAAAUGAAGAGUAGCCCUGGACCUCCACUUAACAACAUUCCUUUAAACAUUGCAGUCAUAAGCCAGAAUUUAAAUGGGGCACUAACAUGGGAGCCAGCUUUUGAAUAGUUGAAAGCAUUUUGUUAACAAAGUGUCAUUAUUCGGGCCAAGCUAGUGUUGCUACAUUUCUGUUCAACUCAGCUCACCUUGUAGAGAAAAGAAUUUGGAAAUUUUAUAGCUUCUUCUUUUUUGUGUGUGUCUUUUGUCUUUUUAGGGCCAUACCCACAGCAUAUAGAAGUUCCCAGACUAAGGGUUGAGUUGGAGCUGUAGCUGCCAGCCUACACCACAGCUCACAGCAAUGCCAGACCAUUAACCUACUGAGUGAGGCCAGGGAUUGAACACGCAUCCUCAUGGACACCACUUGGGCUCGUUUACCACUGAGCCAUGACGGGAACUCCUGGAACUUUUAUAUUCUAAAUAAUGUCCUUUAUAUUAUUGUGCUGCAGCCGUGGCAUUUCUAACUUCCUGAUGGACAUUUCCACUUGGAUUUCUGGCUGUUCAUACGUGUUCCCAACAUCCUUAUUUCUAUCUGUGCUCUCACCAAUAUUGAGGAACUAGAUAUGUAGUGGUUAAGAGUGAGGGCUUGGGAGGUUGACCGCCUAGUUUUAAAAUCCUGCUAUGGUACUUACUGAGUGUGUGGCCUUGGCCACAUUAUUUGUCUUUUCAAUGGCUUAAUCACCUCAUCUGUGUAAUUGGAAUAAUAACAACAUAUUUAUCAUCAAGUUGUUGUAAGCAGUGAAUUAAACUGCUUAGACCUGUGCCUGGCACAUAGUGUUUGUAUCAGUUUGGUUGUAUUAGGUGCCAAGUAGCAGAACACCAGUUAACAUUAUUGUAGGCAAGAAAUGUAUUUAACUCUCUUUCUUAACUAGAAUACUGGCUAUGGGCAGUUCCAGGUUUGGUGCAGCAGUUCAGUGGUGCCACCAAAGCCCUCAUUUCUUUCUAUCUUCCCUUUUGUCAUUUUUAACAUGCUGCCUUUUCAUCUUCAUGAUUAUCACAUUGUGGUCACCAGAUGUUGCACAUCCAGGCAUCACAUCUGCAUUUCAAGGCAGGAAGAAGGGAGAAGGACAGGGCCAGCAUCUACUGUCCCUCUUGUCAGGAAGACAAAAGCUUUCUGAGAAGCCUCCCAAAGGACUUCUCCCUCUGUCUGAUUGUCAGGAGUAAGUCGCGUGUCCACCCUUGUCUGUGAAAGAAGCCAGGAAAGAAACUGUCUAAUAUCCAGCCUCUGUAAUGGAAGAUGAGUGGGAAAAGAAGAGGGAUGGGCACGGUUGCUGAAGUAACCAGGCCACAGUGAUCGCCACAGUGAUUGUUGCAUGUUAGCUAUUAUUAUUAUUAUUCUAAUUCCUUAAGUUAGAAAUAUUGAAGUUAUUUUUCAUUCUCCUUCCCCCCUCCCACCCCAGCAAACACUCUGUCACUUAAGUUCAGUGUUUUCCAUGCUUUCCUCUUUCUUUCCCUUUAUGCUAUUCCUAGUAGUUAAGGCUUUUCUUAUCUCAUGAGUGGAGAAAUGUUGUGGCUUUUUUUUUUUUUUUUUUUUUUUUUAAAGGGCUGCACUGGAGGCCUCUAGAGGUUCCCAGGCUAGGGGUCCAAUUCCGAGCUACAGCGCCGGCCUAUACCACAGCUGCAGGAAUGCCAGAUCCGAGCUGCCUCUGAGACCUACACCACAGCUCGAGGCAAUACUGGAUCCUUAAUCCAUUGAGUGAGGCCAGGGAUUGAACCUGAAUCCUCAUGCAUCCUAGUUGAGUUCAUUAACCGCUGAGCCACAACGGGAACUCCAUAGUGAAUCUUAACCUUCACUGUACCUCAGAAUCACCUGGGAAGCUUGAUAAAAAUCAGAUGUCUCUUAAAAAUCAAGUGCUGAGCUUAAAAAUAAUAUAUCCCCAAAGCACCCACAGUAUAUGGAAACACAGGGAAAAUAGUAAGUGUAUUGUCAUUUAUGUUCUAUGUCACUCAUUUGGCACAUUAAAUGCAUUUCACCUAAGAUCCGUUAUUAGUUAUCUUUUCAUGUCUAUGUAAGUCUUAUCUCUUCCAGUAGACCAGAAAUUCUUGAAGGCAAAGAUUAUAUAAUACCGUUUUGAGGCUCUCAUUCAUACCACUUUGAGUUCUAAAGAUCUGCAAGAAAUAUGUUGAAGAGUCAGUGACAUUCAUACAAAACAUUCAGUGAUAGUAAAUGUUAUUAAAUAUUGGCUAGAUCCAACAAAAACAUUGGAAAACCUCAAAACACAAGACACUGGGUUUAAAAAAAAAUCUAUGUUUGUCAGACUAGAUAUAUUGUUUGAAGCAAUAGAGCCACACCUGUCAGAGAAAUGGCUACAAUGUAAUAAUAAUGCAGCUAGGUUUUAUAAGAUUCAAAUAGAAAGGAAUAGGGUAGAUUUACCAUAAAUGCAAAACUUCAAGGGGUGAAAGGGCAUCAAUAAUCAGUAAUUCUGUCACUAAUGGAAUUAGUUUGAUUAUUGUGAAGGAUACCAUCAUUACAUAAUGUUCUUCUCAAGAUACUGUGAUAUGCACUGGAGGAAAGCUAGCAAAAUGUAUUAUGAAUUCAAUGUAGAAGAAAAAAGUGAUCCUUUGUUCAGUUAGUCAACCAACAAUUAACAAAUACCUGAUCUGUGCCAGGUAUUUAGUGAUGGAUAAGACUCAGUGUCUCAAGGAACUUUGGGGUCUAGUAAGAAAAAGAAGCAUGCAAACAAGUUCAAAAGACAGUUUCAGGUGUGACCAUAGAGUGCAGUGUGGGAAAUAGGACAGAGUCUGUUCUGUGUGGGGAUGUGAGGACAGAAUAGAGUUACCUUCCCCAGAGUUAUCUUCUCUUGAACCUUCCACUGUACUGCUAGAGUUAUCUUUCUCACUUUCUUACCAGCUACUAAAUUAUAAAAUUAACAUCCAGGGAGUUGAGAACAUCUUUGCUUCUUUGCACUGAUUAGAUUGAAAACAACUUCAGAAAUCAUCAACUCUGACCCAGCCUUUAUAAAAAUGGUCAUCUGUUCUCUCUCACUCCACCCACCCCAAUCAUCUAUCUUGUCCCCUGAAUGUGAGCAACUAAGGGUGACCAGCUAUCCUGGUGUGGCCAGGAAUGGGGGGUGUCUUAGUAUCUAGGACUUUCAGUGCUAAGACCAGGACAGUCCCAGGUAGCUGGAAUGAGUCGGUCACCCAAGGAUGAGGUAGAAAGAUUUGGAAUUAAGCAACCUGGGUUAAAUCUAGGUUAAAUCCAUGACUAUGGGCAAACCUCUUAAUGCUUUAUGCCACUAGACAUAAGUAUGUCUCUGGAAUCCAAUGCCAGCCUGUGCAGAAGCGGGAGGAACAUUUCACCACGGCCUGCUGGGCCUCUCUUGUCCACUGGCUGGGCCAAGUCAACACAAGCACAUGUUUACAGUAAACAUUGACAUGACUAUCUUAGAAUUUCCCACUAUCACAGAUUCUUAUGAUCUAGUAAUAAAAUUGCAUUAGACAAAAAUAGAAUCUAUUUAACAACUUUUAAAUCAACUUCCCGAUUUUUAUUGGCUCCAUGAGGGCUGGGCAUCGUGAGUCCUAGCUUUGCCACUUAUUAGCUACAUGACCUUGAAUAAGGAGUUACUUUUUCUCAUCUGAAACAUGAUAAGUUUCAUUAUAAUGAUUAAAUGGGUAAAUAUGAGUAUUAGUCAUGAAACAGAGACUAUUUUUUUCUACUAGUUUUGUUGAGAUACAAUUGGCAUGCAGCACUGUAUAAGUUCAAGGUGUGUGCAAUGUAGGGAUUUGACUUACAUACAUCAUGAAAUGAUUUCACAGUAAAUUUAGUGAACCUCUUCUAAAGGUGGAAGUUUGUACCUUUUGACUGCCUUCAUCCAGUUCCCCCACCCUCAACCCCCUGCCACUGGUAACCACAAAUCUGAUCUCUUUUUCUAUGAGUUGUUUUGUUUUGUUUUAAUGGCCACACCUGCAGCAUAUGGAAGUUCCGGGGCCAGGGAUUGAAGCCACAACUCUGCAGCGACCUGAGGAUUCUUAACCCACUGCGCCACAGCAGGAACUCCUGGGUUUGUUUGUUGUUGAAGUAUAAUUGACCUAUAACACGGUUAGUUCCUGUUACACAGCAUAGUGAUUCAAUAUUUUGAUACAUUUCAAAAUGAUCAUUGUGAUAAGUCUAGUUACGACCAGUCACUAUACAAAUAUAUUACAUAGUUAUUGACUAUAUUCUCCACACUGUACAUUUUAUGCCCAUGACUCAUUUAUUUUGCACCUGGAAGUUUGUUCCUCUUAAGCUCUCUCACCUAUUUCUUUCCUCUCUCCUCCCCUUCCCCUC